GGCAGAGGAGAAAAAAGGAAGGAGGAAGUAACUUGUGGAAUGCUGAGAAAGAAGGAGAGGUAUAUCGUCCCUUUAGGCAAAUCGGUUAUAUUUAAUGGUUCAAGAACAAUGAAAGGCAGAUAAUCUUUACCUAGAGGAAUAAAGCCCUGAUAGGGAAGAGUGAGUAUGGCGUUUCUUACAGGACUACUGGAAUUAAGUUUGGAAGGAAAAUAAAGAGAGAAGAAGCCAUUUAGAUUUUACAGAAAUGUAGCUCCUCAUACAUUAUAUUGUUCCUAUGAAGAAUUAGAUUGAAUAAAGCUGCUUUGAAUAAAGCUCGUAUUACCAGCUACCACAUGUGAUGGAAAGAAUCCAAGUUAAACACUCUCACCAGAGCAUGCUCCAAGACAGAUGACUGAGCCCCAGGCUUGGCCAAUACAAUGCACUUCUAUUCUCUAUUUAUUUUUGUAGUUCAAAGACCUGGCAGUAACCCACUUGAUGCCUGCCAUAAGGACCAGUACACUCCUGAUUACUGCCCAGCGAUUUUAUAUCUGUAUGCCAGCUACUCAGACCACGUAUAAAGACUAGGGGGAUUUUUUGAAAGGAAAAGAAACCCCGGCUUCCACUUAUACUUUGAAAUUUCAGAUGAUGUACUGCCAACUUACAGACCUUGCUUUAAUCAGCAGCCACAUGAAAAGGCUGUUUCUAUUUACUCUAGGUCAUUUAGGAAACAAGCAAUAAGUAGGCCUUGCAAAAUUUCAGCUUCUCUUAAAGUUGGCAUGUUUUCCUCAAAUAGAGAGUUGAAUCUUGAUUUC
ensembl:lncRNA LINC02379 long intergenic non-protein coding RNA 2379